rnacentral:rRNA from 1 species
UGCCAGCCGCCGCGGUAAUACGGAGGGUGCAAGCGUUAAUCGGAAUUACUGGGCGUAAAGCGCGCGUAGGCGGUUUUGUAAGUCGGAUGUGAAAUCCCCGGGCUUAACCUGGGAACUGCACUCGAUACUGCAUAACUAGAGUAUGGUAGAGGGAAGUGGAAUUUCCGGUGUAGCGGUGAAAUGCGUAGAUAUCGGAAGGAACACCAGUGGCGAAGGCGACUUCCUGGGCCAAUACUGACGCUGAGAAACGAAAGCUAGGGUAGCGAAUGGGAUUAGAUA